ACAAACUGAAGACAAACAACGAAGACAUAAAGCUUCAAAACCAGUAUAAUGAAGUUACUGCUCCUACUCAUCCUCUCUCUGACCACAGGUCGUGAAUCUGAAGUGAGAGCAUGUCACCAUCGAUGGGCUGAAAUCACCUGCAAAUAUCCUGAAACAAAUAACAUAUAUCAGUACAUUGAUGUAGUUCUUUCCAGUGGAACACCUGUACAAAGCUUUAAGAAGGACGUGUGGGAAGAAAAUGGUAGAUUUUGCCUCUACCAUGAUACAAAAAAUAAAAAUCUCAAGGUUGCAAUAAAACAUGUUAAAGAGCAAGAGUUUGGGAAGUACAGGUGCAGGUUUUUCCAAAGAUCGAACUCAUCUGACAUACAGGAAGGAAAACUGGAGACCGAGCAUGUAAACUGCCCGCGAACAUUUCUCAGCGUGUACAGAACAGCUAACAGCACCAUCACAUGUGAUUAUCCAGAUGUUUACGCGUCCCACAUAAAGUUCUUCUGUAAAAAGAAACGUUUUACCUGUGAGGACAUUUUAUCAACGUCAAAAGGGAAGUUUACUCUCACAGGCAGCAGCCGUGCCUUGAACAUUUCCAUCAGUCAUGCGACCUCACAGGAUGCUGGUGAUUACUGGUGUGGAGUGGAAUCAAAUGAUGGAAGUUACAGAUUAUCACACACACAAGUAAACCUGAAAGUUAUAGAUAUUGAACCUUUGACAUCAACUAUUGGACAGAACUUCACUUACCAGUGUAAGUACAACCGGGAUGCCUCCUCAUGUAUAAAAUUCAUCUGCAAAGGAGAAGAUUCAACUGUAUGCAAACAGCUAGUAACCACCACAGAGCCUGACGUGAACCAGAGGUUUAUAAUGAAAGAGAACAGCGGGAGUAUCACCAUUACAGUGAGAGAAGUAACAGCAAACGAUAGUGGGAUAUACUGGUGUGGAGCAAGAGUCCCUCACAAAGACAAUCAAACACAUGACGACUUCUUUGAUGGAUUUAAUUUGACUCUAGGGACCAAAUCACCUGCUCGAAGAUCAUCAGACAGAGAUGAAUGUGUUUAAUGAGUCUUUAUUUAUUUGUGUUCACAUUCAAAUCACAUACCAAAAAAUACAAAUUAGAUUUUAAACCAUGUUUGAACACAUUAACAAUGCAUUUUCCAUUUGUUAUUAUAGAGCUUUUGCCUGUAACAGAAACAGGUCUUCUAACCACAGCAACCACCCCAGCUCCUCAGAGUUCUGGUGAGAGACUUUAUUUAAUUUAUUUAAUAUCUUAAAUCUGCUAUGAAGGCAAGUGCUGAAGCUGGAUUAAGAUGUUCACACUGUUUAUGAAAACGUAGAAAUAAACUGAUGAUGUGAAAGUCUUAAAACUUUCAAAAGGUUUAUCUUUCCUAUGUUCUUCAGCACCGGCAGUUGAACAAUAAUGUCAUGCUGAAUAAUUUUCUGGUCUAAAUUUCUGUGAUGUAGUGAUGACCUUGAUCCUAUGUGUGGCUGUGUUGCAGCUGAUGUUUGCAAUCAUUUUAUUCCUUAUCUAUAAACGAGUCUCACAUUUAAAAAAUGCUGAAAAUGGAGCUGGAGCAUCGUAUGUCAAACAGGAUAAUGGCAACAACAAAUACCUUGAGGUCUGUGCUGGUGAGGAUACACAGGAGCACCUUCAGGUGUCAGAGUCAGAAAAUGCAGCAAACUCAAUUUAAGUUAGAGCCAACCUUCACUCUGUGCUUUCUCGCCACAUUAUGCAAACAUCAACUUUCAAAGCUGUUCUGUCAAAGCUGCUGGUGAGGUACUCAAACCCAGCUCCUCAGCCUGUGAAUGUUCUACUGUGGAGUUCAGCAAAUGUUCAACCAGCCCGACUUGCCUUUCUAUCAGCUAAAACAACAAAGAGGAAUGUUUUUCUGAUUACUGCGCAUUGCCAAAAAAUGAGGUUUAAAGUUAACACAGCCAAACAAGAAAUACUUUUUAUUCUCAGAGUUCAUAACAGAGUUGGGCAAAAAUAAAUAUCAUUUUUAAAAAUACUGCCCUUUGUUCCUAGAAUAGUCUGUAGAACAAAAUAAAACUGUUAGAACUUGUUACUGUGACUUAAUAUACUUAAUAGUUUAAGUCAAUUUAAAGGAUCAACAAAAUAGAUAUGAGACAACGAGAUUACUCUUAAAAUUGAUUUGAAAUUCAUUGUUUUGUGGUUGGGUAUGGGCUGGUUGUAUUCACUCACACAUGUACUGUUUAGCAGCUGUAUUUGUGUGACAGCUGAUUUUUGUAAUUGUUACAAUUUCUCCUCCUCUCUUGGGCACAUAAAAUGUUACUAAAUAAGGAGAAAUAAAAAACACAAAGAAUUUAACACCCUGCUUCUGGCUUGAUAAGCAAAAGAAAUUCCAUAGAAAUUCCUCGAACACGUUUUAAGACCAGAGGAGACGUUUUAGAGCGGUGGCCCCCAGGUUGUGGAAUGCGCUCCCUCCAUCAUUACGUUGCCUUGAUUGUAUUUAUUCUUUUAAAAAGCAGCUUAAGACUCAUUUGUGCUGAACGUUUGACUGUGCUGUUUUUAUGUAUAUCUGUUUUUAUAUUACUGCGAAGCACUUUGUGGUU
ensembl:lncRNA